AGAGCGAACGCUGGCGGCAGGCCUAACACAUGCAAGUCGAACGGAUCCUUCGGAGUUAGUGGCGCACGGGUGCGUAACGCGUGGGAAUCUGCCCCUUGGUUCGGAAUAACAGUUGGAAACGACUGCUAAUACCGGAUGAUGACGAAAGUCCAAAGAUUUAUCGCCAAGGGAUGAGCCCGCGUAGGAUUAGCUAGUU
rnacentral:rRNA from 1 species